rnacentral:lncRNA from 1 species
UAAGAUGUACACACACUCUAAAUUUCAGGUCUAUCACAAUGAUUUUUAGUAUUGAAACCAUAUUUCUCGACACUAUUUUAGGGUGGGCUCUAAUUUGAUUGUGUAGAGCCGCAGCUCUAUAUAAACUGCACCCAUGUAUAGGAGGGUGAUUGCAUGCAACGGUUUAUUGUAAUAUAAUGAAACAAUCUUCACGAAUUGUUUGACCUCAAUUUUUAAAUAUACAUUUUUUUUCAUUCUAUUGAGCAAUCACAAAAAAACAAAAUUUAAAAACGCAACAUAUAAAGCGGUUUUUUAGCCCAGUUAACAGAGGCCGUCCAUUUUAAUAAGAUGUUUAGAUCUAAGCUAGAAGGAUUUUUUUCCCCUUCCAAAUUAUUUAGGUGGCUUUAUUAUCAUUAGAUGAAUAAUGUUAAAAAAGAAAAAACUGAUUUGAAUUCGUGAAGGCCUAGAUCUUGAAAUUCACCAAAUGGAUUGUCCAGAUUCAUUGUUGAACGGAGAUUCAUUUUGACCAUAUCUAGGGUGCAAAUUGAAUUGUAUUUUUUGGGAUUGAUUAUUGGGAUGAAGAGAGGAUAUGUGCAACUUUUGGAGUCAUACAAGUGCUACAAAUAUGGUUUUCUAGAAGUAUAUUACAUUGAUACGGUGAUAUGAAAUCACUCAUAUAAAUAAAAAGGGGCACAAAGGAAGAAACCUUGAAGUUGGAUGGGGUUGUCUAGAUCUUGAAAUUCACUACAUGGAUUGUCUAAGUUCAUUGUUGGACGGGGAUUCAUUUUAAUCUUAUAGGGUGCAAAUUGAGUUUUAUUUUUUGGGAUUGAUUAUUGGGAUGAAGAGAGGAUAUGUGCAACUUUUGGGGACAUACAAGUGCUAUAAACAUGGUUUUUCUAGAAGUGUGGAUUCAUUAUAUUACAAUGACAUGGUGAUAUGAAAUCACUCCACAUAUAAAUAAAAAGGGGUACAAAGGAGAACCUUUAAGGACAAAAAGGAAAAUGUCUUCAAAGCAUCCUU